GGACGUGGCGGCAUGCCUAUACAUGCAGUCGAGCGAAUGGAUUAAGAGCUUGCUCUUAUGAAGUUAGCGGCGGACGGGUGAGUAACACGUGGGUAACCUGCCCAUAAGACUGGGAUAACUCCGGGAAACCGGGGCUAAUACCGGAUAACAUUUUGAACCGCAUGGUUCGAAAUUGAAAGGCGGCUUCGGCUGUCACUUAUGGAUGGACCCGCGUCGCAUUAGCUAGUUGGUGAGGUAACGGCUCACCAAGGCAACGAUGCGUAGCCGACCUGAGAGGGUGAUCGGCCACACUGGGACUGAGACACGGCCCAGACUCCUACGGGAGGCAGCAGUAGGGAAUCUUCCGCAAUGGACGAAAGUCUGACGGAGCAACGCCGCGUGAGUGAUGAAGGCUUUCGGG
rnacentral:rRNA from 1 species